rnacentral:rRNA from 1 species
UACGGAGGGUGCAAGCGUUAUCCGGAUUCACUGGGUUUAAAGGGUGCGUAGGUGGGUCUGUAAGUCAGUGGUGAAAUCUCCGAGCUUAACUUGGAAACUGCCAUUGAUACUAUAGACUCUUGAAUACUGUGGAGGUCAGCGGAAUAUGUCAUGUAGCGGUGAAAUGCUUAGAUAUGACAUAGAACACCAAAUGCGAAGGCAGCUGGCUAACACAAAAUAUUGACACUGAGGCACGAAAGCGUGG